GUAGUUAGCCGGGGCUUCCUCCAUCGGUACUGUCUCUCAUCUACGCUUUUUACAUAGACGCUCUUCUUCCCAUUGGACAGAGCUUUACGACCCGAAGGCCUUCUUCACUCACGCGGCGUUGCUCCGUCAGGCUUGCGCCCAUUGCGGAAGAUUCCCCACUGCUGCCUCCCGUAGGAGUCUGGACCGUGUCUCAGUUCCAGUGUGGCCGAUCAGCCUCUCAGCUCGGCUACCCAUCGUUGGCUAGGUGGGCCGUUACCCCGCCUACUACCUAAUGGGACGCGAACCCCUCCUUUAGCGGAUUUCUCCUUUGACCUCUGUGUCAUGCGGCACUGUGGUCUUAUGCGGUAUUAGCACCUGUUUCCAAGUGUUAUCCCCCUCUAAAGGGCAGGUUGUUCACGCGUUACUCACCCGUUCGCCACUAGGUACAAAACCGAAGUCUCGUACCCCGUUCGACUUGCAUGUGUUAGGCACGCCGCCAGCGUUCGUCCUGAGCCAUAAUCAAACUCUGA
rnacentral:rRNA from 1 species